CUACAAGCCAAACGACAUCGUACUCUCCAUUCAGUCCACUUCCUCCAAUUCCCUUGAGAAGGGACAGAGCCAAAACCUAUCAGUUCAAUUCAGAUAAUAAUGGCGAAGGGUAAAAAAGAGCUGCUGGCGUCCAUGGAGGGUGGAGGAAAAGGAAGAGAAGUUCAAAGACAUUGAAAGUGACGAACCAGCCAGGUACAACGCCCAAAAUGCACGUCCCUGGAAAGAAGUAUAAAAACGACGACGUUGCAGAAGAAUCCCUCACUGAAAUCGAUCCCGAACUCCGCUACAGCUUCCAGCGCAAUUUUCAAGUAACUGAAUUAAUAUAUUCGUUUAAACUAUUUGUAUAUAUGCGUGUAUGUAUAUGUUUUGGGUUAACUAUAUGAGAACCCGUUUGGUAAAAUGUGGUAUAUUUCUGUGUUUUUCUGGUGGAAAUUUUAUUAUUAUGCGAGAAAGUUACAAUCUUUGUGGCCUGACGAACAACUCGAUAAUGAUAGUGUCUGCUGGGAUUGUGGGUUUUAUUUUUAUUGUGUUGUGUUCUUACAUCUUAUGGUUGCUCAUAAAUAAGCAUCGAGGUCUUAGAGUGAAUUAAACUCUAUAUUUUAUUUUUAGUGCAUUGUUUUGGUUUAAGCAGGCUUAGCAUAGUUUAAUAAAGUUGGAGACUGGUUCGAACUUUAGUUGGGCUAGUUUUGUGAUUCUAAAUUGAAUGAAACGAGUAAUCAAGAAUGUGAUUGCUUUUCCUCCUCUCACCUUAUCUGAGUGCUGCAACCUGUCUUUAAUUCGAUUGUGUCCUUUCUUCUGGUAAUCUCUCCAUCACUUCCACUUGUCCUCCUUUCUUUGACAUCCAUAACCAUCCUCCUUGGAAAACCCUUGUCCACUAACAUUACCUCCUAAAGCCUUCCGAACUUAAAAUAGUUUUUCCCCAGUUUCAUUCAUCGAAAGAGUUAAGGGUCGCCUGGAGAAUUAGAAAGAAAUAUGACCUUUGCAAUAUAUCUCCUUUUGUCAAAAGAAAGGAACCUCUAGGAGGACGGAGGAUAUAUUACGGUUCCCACGCGUCAGUUUACAAUGCUUACCACUGUCUCUAUCAAAUUGUGCUCAGCUCAACAUAAGCCAAUGUUAACUCAAUCCCUGCAUACACUCACUCCUUGCUUUCGCAAUUGUUAGCCUCUGGGGUGGUGACAGGUCCAUGGUCAUCUUAAUCACUUGCAUGAGUACAUCUUCUUGGAGUGACUCUUUAUACAAAGCAAUGACGGAUGCUCGUUAACAAAGAUUCCAAUCAGCAACUUAUGACAAUUAAGAAUUAUUGAAGAGAGAGAGACGAGACAAGGAAGAGAAAGUCGAGAGAGAAAUUGUAAUGGUAUUCAAUAAUCAAUGUGUAUUUUUUAAAACAGUUAACCAUUUAUGUUUAGGGGUUUAAACAAUCCUAACCUAGGUAGAAAAUUAAGAAAUCUAAUUUAAAUAGAAAACAAAGGAAAUAAGCCUAUUCUAAUACGAACUAGAAUUAAAGAGGCCCCAAUAUUUAAUUUUUUUUGGCCUCAAUAUACUUUAAUCUCUGCAUCGUAAAGUCUUUGUCUAUAACAAAUUGUUUUAACUUCCUGCCAAGGCUGACUGAUAGAUAAGAUAUCCAGCAUUUAAUGCCUGCUGAUUAAGCAAUUCCUCUCAUCCUAAUAAAGCAUGUUCUACUCGAGUUCGUUACUUAUCCCUUUCCUCUAAAAAUACUUCAUCUGAUCCAUCCACCCAAGCUGUACCAAAGUCUGUCACUAUUUUCAUUCUGAUAACCUUUGUCAUUAUUGACCGUGGUUGCCAGUGGUAUGCCACCAGUUUUUCUUCAACUGAUAUCGAAACGAACAUUGCAUUCAUUGUACAGAUGUUAUUAGCAUCUAAUGUUAUAUCCUGUGCAAUUUAUUAUCUAAGAUGUGUUGCUGUCAUUGAUGUAAUUCUUUCGCAUGUGUGCAGUUUCUUGGUCGUGUUUUCAGCGUCGAUACCGUCGUCAAACCUCUUCCUCCUGCAAUGGCAUACAACGUCUCUGGCAACAUGAGCUUCUUCACAUGAAUCUUUACACAGUUCUUUGGUAAGUUGAAUUCUCUGAGUGUGUAUUUUCUGGUGCUGCCCUUUGAUUUUAAUAGAAAAAGACAAUAUGAUUAGGGUCUUCUUGUUACUUCUACUUUUCUUUUGUUUCCCUCUCAUGGGAUGGUAUUAGCUUCAAUUCAGUGACUUCUUGCUUCUCUAUUGGUUAGAUUAGCUUCCCAUGUACAUGUGGCAAAGAUUAUUACAAUUAAGCACGAUCCAUAGAUAAUUAACACAUAUUAAACAUUAACCUGCCAAUAACAAGACCUGACAUAAGAUGGAAGAAAUAAGCAAAUAUGACAUCAGACGAUGAGCUCGUAUUUCAGAUGAAAAUAGUCACCAACGAAGUUGUGCUCAUUAGUUACGCCCCCCCCCCCCCCCCCCCCCCCCNUUUUCUGUGGGUAGACUUCUUCAUUUAGCUUCUUUUUACUUAUUCUCAUUGGGUGAAGUGCUUGGUGUUGAUGGACAUGUCUUACAUGUAUUGACUUCCAUUUGAUUUGGCAGUUCAAAGGGAAAGGAAGGGGGUGAGUGGGUGGGCGGGCGAUUGUAGUUGAAGCCUUGAAGGAACCAUUAUAUUUCAGCCAUGUCAUCAUGAAUUACAGAAGAAUGAAAUGCAUUUGCUAUACUUCUCUGCAUGGAAAAUUUCUGCUUUCUAAUGAUGCUUCUCCCUCCUUUUCUGUCCGUUUGGGCAGACCCUGAAGGUAUAGCAAAUGCACAGAAAUCUCUUGGAUUAGGUCAAGAAGAAAAAAUUCGCAAAGUCCGCUGAGCAAGUUCUUGAAUUCUACAGAACAUUUGACGUGUUCGUUUGAGAACUAAUAUCUCUACCGUUGAUGGAAGAGCAAUUUGUAUUCCAUAGUUGUGUAGGCAUAUGAAUUCAGAUAAAGUAUUUCAUAAUUUAAUUUCUGCAACUUCUGCCAGAAAGAUUCGUGUUUGCUUAAUCACUUGAAAAAUGACCAUAACUGCAACCGAACCGAAAGAUUGAGGACUAAAUGUUUAGAUUUAAAGGCUGGGGAUCAAAGUUUCUACAAACGCAAAAUGUGAGUGACUGAUGCGACAAUUUUCUCAAGUUUAUAUUAGUAAUUUGUUUUCCUUUUGAAUCUGUUCCUAAAUCUGCUUAACAUCAAC
rnacentral:lncRNA from 1 species